UACAGAGGUCCCAAGCGUUGUUCGGAUUCACUGGGCGUAAAGGGUGUGUAGGUGGCGCCGUAAGUCGGGUGUGAAAUCUCGGAGCUUAACUCCGAAACUGCAUUCGAUACUGCGGUGCUUGAGGACUGGAGAGGAGACUGGAAUUCAUGGUGUAGCAGUGAAAUGCGUAGAGAUCAUGAGGAAGACCAGUGGCGAAGGCGGGUCUCUGGACAGUUCCUGACACUGAGACACGAAGGCCAGGGGAGCAAACGGG
rnacentral:rRNA from 1 species